CACUUUUGGAUGGUCCCGCGGCGUAUUUAGCUAGAUGGUGGGGUAACGGCUCACCAUGGCAAUGAUACGUAGCCGACCUGAGAGGGUAAUCGGCCACAUUGGGACUGAGACACGGCCCAAACUCCUACGGGAGGCAGCAGUAGGGAAUCUUCCACAAUGGACGAAAGUCUGAUGGAGCAACGCCGCGUGAGUGAAGAAGGGUUUCGGCUCGUAAAACUCUGUUGUUAAAGAAGAACAUAUCUGAGAGUAACUGUUCAGGUAUUGACGGUAUUUAACCAGAAAGCCACGGCUAACUACGUGCCAGCAGCCGCGGUAAUACGUAGGUGGCAAGCGUUGUCCGGAUUUAUUGGGCGUAAAGCGAGCGCAGGCGGUUUUUUAAGUCUGAUGUGAAAGCCUUCGGCUCAACCGAAGAAGUGCAUCGGAAACUGGGAAACUUGAGUGCAGAAGAGGACAGUGGAACUCCAUGUGUAGCGGUGAAAUGCGUAGAUAUA
rnacentral:rRNA from 1 species